GGAGUAUAGCUCAAUGGUAGAGUGUUCACUUAGCAUGUACAAAACCUUGUGUUCAACUCCCAGUAGUACCA
rnacentral:tRNA from 1 species